rnacentral:rRNA from 1 species
UUCGGUGCCCAUGGCACUGGGGAAACACCUGUUCUCAUUCCGAACACAGAAGUUAAGCCCAGUAGCGGCGAUUAUACUACGCAAGUGGGAAACUAGCACGGUGCCGAAU